rnacentral:lncRNA from 1 species
UCUUCUAAAACCACGCUUGACAAGUUGAGACUUUGAGCAAGUGCAACACCUUCUCUAGGCUAAAGCUUCAACAAUCUCAACAGUAAAACACUCCUCAAUAUGAAUAGACUUGGAUGCAAUCAUCUUGCCAAUAUGGUCACAAAUGAUGAUUCCUGCGCUAGUACCUGCAUUAGGGAUGAUAGAUGCAUCUGUGUUGAUUUGGAAACUACCAAUAGGAGGUGCUUUCCACAUAGAAUCACGAUAAAAAUUCUGCAAUCUUGUUGGGGGUGGCAUUUGUUUCUUGAAAAUCACUUUUGCAUUUGGUAGCAGUUUUGAAAC